UACGUAGGGUGCAAGCGUUGUCCGGAAUUAUUGGGCGUAAAGAGCUCGUAGGCGGUUUGUCGCGUCUGCUGUGAAAACUCGGGGCUUAACUCCGGGCCUGCAGUGGGUACGGGCAGACUAGAGUGCGGUAGGGGAGACUGGAAUUCCUGGUGUAGCGGUGAAAUGCGUAGAUAUCGAGAGGAACACCUGCGGCGAAGGCGGGUUGCUGGGCUGAUACUGACGCUGGAGGCGCGAAAGCCCAGGGGGAGCGAAACGGGG
rnacentral:rRNA from 1 species